GCUUGUGGUGUGUGGAUGGAUGAAUUAGUGACCAUGUUCUUAUAACCACCUAUUUUUUGUUAAUUGAAAUACUCACCAGCUCUUGCACCCUUUUGUUAUCCCCACUUCCAUUAUUGUAAGUCACAUGGAAGGAAAGUAGUAACACCACCACAAGGAGGAGUGACAUGGUGUGACUCGUGUGCAGUGGAAAUGUGACAAAGAUGCCACAGCGUCUUACUAGUCGCCAAACAUCGAUCGUUUCCAAGUAGACCUCCCACCGGCUCCGUGCUCGACCGGUACGUGGAAUUAGGGGCACCUAUAAAAUUGAAGGUCUAAUCUAAUCCGAAGUCUGAUGGUGAUAGGUUGUGCUUAGGUGACCUAAGUGGCUGAGACAACUAUGGCAGUAUGAAGGUGAUCCCAUAGUUAAAAACAGUAUUUUAUCAAUAUUAAGGAUUUAUUGGCUUUAGUUAUCAAAAUCUUGUUGAGGCAUCGACACUGUCUCAACUUUCCAGAUUUAUGUGUGGUGAUAUUUGUAUAAUUUUUCUACCAUUUUGCUUGUUGUAAAGACUAGUAUGUAUGUAUGUAUGUAUUGGUGGGGUGACGAUCCUGCCAUUGUUGGACAGGACCGUCAGCUGCGCAAGCACUAAAGGCUUAUUGCAGUCUCCCCGUAUACACCGCUUUACUGUGCUAAGUCAUGACUCUCACGAUUUACAGAUCUACCUUGACCUACAAACCGCCCUGAUCUGAUUAUGAAUUGAAUUAGAUCGGGCAGAGACAUAGUCACUAUUUGCUCUGGUGGCAACUCAUGCCUCCCAAAGAGUUCUGACCUUAGGGCACAAUACUUGUCGCAGGACCCAAGAAAAUGAAAUACAGUCUCAGGGCCACGGCCACAUAGGAAAGACUAGUACAAAAUACAAAGAUAAACCUAGUGAAGCUUGAAACAUUUUAAACAGCUAUAAUAAAGUAGUGCUCGUAUGCGUGUAUGGGUAAACAGUGAAGGAGGAGGGAACGUGAGAUUAUUAAUGAGGCAGUUUACCUUACCUGUUUGUUGUUGCAAAUUUCUCAGAACUAUACGUCAUCAAAAAAAAACUAGAGUCGUGAAAUGUUAUUGUGCGUGAUUUCGCAUCUACCAAUGAAGAAAUGUGACAAUAUUGUAAAAAUUCAACUAAUUUAAAACCUUCACAUUACAUAAAUUAAAUUUGCAAGAAAGUUGGAAGACAAAUGAAGCACAAGAACAUAUUAGGGAAUCAGAGGACUCGCAAUAAAAAAAAUCUCACUUUGUUUAUCAUUGCUUUAAUAACGUUCAUUUUAAUGUACAUGUCCUUGAUAAAAAAUAUUUCAAAUUUCUUGCAUUGAAGAUUGACAAAUGAUAAUUGAUGAUAAUAAUGAUUGACAAAUAAAAUGUUCUUAAACAGAAAAAUUGUAAUUC